GCAGGGAAAGGGAACCCAGAAAUCUGGUAUGCCAGCAAAGAGAGUAAGAACUUCUGACAAGCCAGGCUUCUGGUCUCUCUCUCUCUGUCUCUC